AUGACUUUAUUACAAUUUAACAAUAACAAUAAUUUAAACAAAAACUGGUAAAGAAGAAGAAAAAAAAAAACUCAUGGUACAUUCAUUACAUUUUAUACUAAUUCUACAACCAGCAUUAAAAUUUUCAUUGUAUUUGAAUGAAUAAGAAAGACACGUAUACUUUAGUGCUAAGCUUUUGUCAUUAUUGCAAGUCAGUACUAUAAUAAGUAUAUAGUAUAUAUAUUAGUAGUAUAUAGUAGGUAACAGUAUGAAAUUGCACAAAAACCCCGACAAGCACAAAAAGAAAGUUUCCCUUAGAAAGUAAACCUUCUUUGUUUAUCUCCAUAUCUUAUACCUUUAAACGAGCAAUUCUUGUAUAUUAAAAUAUAUAUGUAUAUAAUCUGAAUCUCGGAAACUGCUUCAACGAUUUUCAUAACAUUUAGUAUACAGGGGAUUUCGGGGGCGAUAAAUCGAUCUAGCUACGAUUUAUUUUCAGAAAAUGUUGUUUUAUUCGUGUUUUCAAUAAUAAACUCUUCCCGAUAUCUAUUGGCGAAUAAUAAUACUAUUUUUCUUAAUUGAGGGCAAGUAACCGCUUUAAAGACACAACAAGAUGGCGUUAUAAAAAAAAAUCGAUCAAAGCUAGGUCAUCAUCUAGUCUGCCAUUAAGCGUCGCCUUCAAUCUUCGUGCAUACCAUCAGGAAUCAGUAUUCUAGUCAUGAUUUAAACACGCUAUGACUAUUCUAUCAUUUAACAUUAAUUAGAAUUUUCGAUUUAAAUUACUGGUGAUAGGACCUCUUGUGAGUCCGCACGGGUAGGUACCACCACCCUGCCUAUUUCUGCCGUGAAGUAGUAAUGCGUUUCG